rnacentral:rRNA from 1 species
UUUAUGGAGAGUUUGAUCCUGGCUCAGGAUGAACGCUGGCGGCGUGCCUAAUACAUGCAAGUCGAGCGAACGGACGAGAAGCUUGCUUCUCUGAUGUUAGCGGCGGACGGGUGAGUAACACGUGGAUAACCUACCUAUAAGACUGGGAUAACUUCGGGAAACCGUAGCUAAUACCGGAUAAUAUUUUGAACCGCAUGGUUCAAAAGUGAAAGACGGUCUUGCUGUCACUUAUAGAUGGAUCCGCGCUGCAUUAGCUAGUUGGUAAGGUAACGGCUUACCAAGGCAACGAUGCAUAGCCGACCUGAGAGGGUGAUCGGCCACACUGGAACUGAGACACGGUCCAGACUCCUACGGGAGGCAGCAGUAGGGAAUCUUCCGCAAUGGGCGAAAGCCUGACGGAGCAACGCCGCGUGAGUGAUGAAGGUCUUCGGAUCGUAAAACUCUGUUAUUAGGGAAGAACAUAUGUGUAAGUAACUGUGCACAUCUU